rnacentral:rRNA from 11 species
GGGUAGGGGAGCGUCGUGCAUGGUGUGAAGCAGUACCGUAAGGGGUUGUGGACUGUGUGCGAGUGAGAAUGCAGGCAUGAGUAGCGAAUUGGAAGGUGAGAAUCCUUCCCGCCGGAUGACUAAGGGUUCCUGGGUCAAGUUCGUCUUCCCAGGGUGAGUCGGGUCCUAAGGCGAGGCCGACAGGCGUAGUCGAUGGUUAACGGGUUGAUAUUCCCGUACCCGUGUAUGCGCGCCAAGUGAUGAAGCGGUGAGACUAACCACCCUGAGCGCCGGCUAUGACGCCACUUUGUGGUGUUGGGUUGGUGUGAUGCGUGGGGCCUGAUCCGUGGUAGUCAAGUGAUGGGGUGACGCAGGAAGGUAGCCAAGCCACCGGUUGGUGUGUGGUGUAAGCGUGUGGCACGACAGUGUGUGAAAUGCCGCUGUCAUAUGUGUGAGGCGUGAUGCGUAGCCCGUUUGUGGGUGAUGUUGGUGAUCCUAUGCUGCCGAGAAAAGCCUCUAGCGAUGUGUGUAUACGGCCCGUACCCGAAACCGACACAGGUAGUCAGGUAGAGAAUACUAAAGCGGUCGGGUGAACUGUGGUUAAGGAAUUCGGCAAAAUUCCCCCGUAACUUCGGGAGAAGGGGGACCCAUGCUGGUUGCCACGUUUUACGUGUGGUUGGCUUGUGUGGGUCGCAGAGAAGAGAGGGGAGCGACUGUUUAUCAAAAACACAGGUCCAUGCGAAGACGUUAAGUUGAUGUAUAUGGACUGACGCCUGCCCGGUGCUGGAAGGUUAAGAGGAACGGUUAGCCGCAAGGCGAAGCUGAGAAUUUAAGCCCCAGUAAACGGCGGUGGUAACUAUAACCAUCCUAAGGUAGCGAAAUUCCUUGUCGGGUAAGUUCCGACCU